rnacentral:rRNA from 1 species
CGCGCAGGCUGUGCUGCAAGUCAGCUGUGAAAUAUCUGGGCUUAACCUGGAUAUGCGGUUGAGACUGCAGUGCUGGAGUGCUGUAGAGGCAAGUGGAAUUCCCAGUGUAGCGGUGAAAUGCGUAGAUAUUGGGAAGAACACCGGUGGCGAAGGCGACUUGCUGGGCAGCAACUGACGCUGAGGCGCGAAAGCCAGGGGAGCAAACGG